UUAUAUUUUAUAAAUAUCUAUAUUUAAGACAUCUGUUAUUUGCAGGGGAUCCUGGCCAAAAGGGAGAUCCUGGCCAAAAAGGGGAUCCUGGCCAAAAGGGAGAAGCUGGUCCAAGAGGUCCGAGAGGUCCUAAGGGGCAAGUUGGUGUGACUAUUAUCCAAGGAGCGCAAGGCCCCAAGGGCGACAAGGGAGGCCCUGGUGAGAAAGGCGACCAGGGACAAGCCAUCAAAGGAGAAAAAGGAUUUCAAGGCCUACCAGGAAAGCAGGGCCCGCCGGGGAAGAAAGGUGAUCCUGGACAACCGGGUGUAAAAGGAGGGAAAGGAGAAAAGGGCGAUAAAGGAGAAGUUGGAUCAUUGGAAGUA